CAUAGACUUCAGAAGCCAGAAGUUUAGUCUCUCCAGGCGUAGUGGUCUUUUGUAUUACAUUCUGUAAGCUGAGCAUCAUACCCAAUUCACCUUUCAUCUUUUCUCUGUUGGCACGGCACUCUGCCAAAUAACGGAGAGCUAAUAAAGCUGAAUGAACAACUGGAGGGCUGGGAUGGUCCAAAAACAGAAUCAGACCUGGCAGACAUCCUUGAUCCUGAACAAUGGCUCUCCUGUUCAAAGGAUCAGCUGCUAGAUCUCGGAGUUGGUUAACUACAGAUAGCGCAUCAGGCUCAUCACUCAUAGUGGAAUUCAUUUUUUCCUACACCACACAUACAAAAUACCGCUGAAUAAGACGUCCCCAGACCGACACAACUCAACCUCAGGCCCCCAUCGCCCGCGGAGGGCACAGGAAGGGACAGGGACAGAACCAGCACCUCUCCCGCACCGCCACCGGGCCCGCUCCGACUCCAC
rnacentral:lncRNA from 1 species